rnacentral:rRNA from 1 species
UUCGUAGGCGGCUUGGUCAGUCAGAUGUGAAAUCCCACAGCCCAACUGUGGAACUGCGUUUGAUACUGCCAAGCUUGAGGGAGUUAGAGGAAAGCGGAACUGAUGGUGGAGCGGUGAAAUGCGUUGAUAUCAUCAGGAACACCGGUGGCGAAAGCGGCUUUCUGGAGCUCUUCUGACGCUGAGGAACGAAAGCUAGGGGAGCGAACG